UUGUAAGUACUUUCGCGAUGUAGGGAAUUAGGGGUAAAUUCAGAAUAAGCAACACUACAUUCCCAAUGUACAUUGAAAUGAUGACGGCCCAAAAAAUCUGUGGUUCAUCUGUCAUUAAUCUUGGAC
rnacentral:ncRNA from 1 species